GAUGAAGAACGCAGCGAAAUGCGAUACGUAAUGUGAAUUGCAGAAUUCAGUGAAUCAUCGAAUCUUUGAACGCAUAUUGCGCUCUCUGGUAUUCCGGAGAGCAUGCUUGUUUGAGUAUCAGUAAACACCUCAACUCCCUUUUCUUUUUUGAAAUGGGAGCUGGACUUGAGUGAUCCCAACGCUUUUCUCACCGGAAAGUGGCGGUUACUUGAAAUGCAGGUGCAGCUGGACUUUUCUCUGAGCUAUAAGCAUAUCUAUUUAGUCUGCCUAAAAACAGAUUAUUACCUUUGCUGCAGCUAACAUAAAGGAGAUUAGUUCUUGUGCUGACUGAUGCAGGAUUCACAGAGACAGCUUCGGCUGACUUUGUAAACUCGAUCUCAAAUCAAGUAAGACUACCCGCUGAACUUAAGCAUAUCAAUAAGCGGAGGA
rnacentral:misc_RNA from 1 species